rnacentral:rRNA from 1 species
ACACUCCUACGGGAGGCAGCAGUGGGGAAUAUUGCACAAUGGGCGCAAGCCUGAUGCAGCCAUGCCGCGUGUAUGAAGAAGGCCUUCGGGUUGUAAAGUACUUUCAGCGGGGAGGAAGGCGAUAAGGUUAAUAACCUUGUCGAUUGACGUUACCCGCAGAAGAAGCACCGGCUAACUCCGUGCCAGCAGCCGCGGUAAUACGGAGGGUGCAAGCGUUAAUCGGAAUUACUGGGCGUAAAGCGCACGCAGGCGGUCUGUCAAGUCGGAUGUGAAAUCCCCGGGCUCAACCUGGGAACUGCAUUCGAAACUGGCAGGCUAGAGUCUUGUAGAGGGGGGUAGAAUUCCAGGUGUAGCGGUGAAAUGCGUAGAGAUCUGGAGGAAUACCGGUGGCGAAGGCGGCCCCCUGGACAAAGACUGACGCUCAGGUGCGAAAGCGUGGGGAGCAAACAGGAUUAGAUACCCGAGUAGUCCCAUG